AGUGAACGCUGGCGGUAGGCCUAACACAUGCAAGUCGAACGGCAGCACAGUAAGAGCUUGCUCUUACGGGUGGCGAGUGGCGGACGGGUGAGGAAUACAUCGGAAUCUACUUUUUUGUGGGGGAUAACGUAGGGAAACUUACGCUAAUACCGCAUACGACCUAUGGGUGAAAGCAGGGGAUCUUCGGACCUUGCGCGAUUGAAUGAGCCGAUGUCGGAUUAGCUAGUUGGCGGGGUAAAGGCCCACCAAGGCGACGAUCCGUAGCUGGUCUGAGAGGAUGAUCAGCCACACUGGAACUGAGACACGGUCCAGACUCCUACGGGAGGCAGCAGUGGGGAAUAUUGGACAAUGGGCGCAAGCCUGAUCCAGCCAUACCGCGUGGGUGAAGAAGGCCUUCGGGUUGUAAAGCCCUUUUGUUGGGAAAGAAAAGCAGCAGGUUAAUACCCCGCUGUUCUGACGGUACCCAAAGAAUAAGCACCGGCUAACUUCGUG
rnacentral:rRNA from 1 species